AUUGAACGCUGGCGGCAUGCUUUACACAUGCAAGUCGAACGGGUGCGGGGGGCAACCUCUGCAUUAGUGGCGAACGGGUGAGUAAUGCAUCGGAACGUACCGUGUAGUGGGGGAUAACGAGUCGAAAGAUUCGCUAAUACCGCAUACGUCCUGAGGGGGAAAGCGGGGGACCCGAGAGGGCCUCGUGCUAUACGAGCGGCCGAUGUCCGAUUAGCUAGUUGGUGGGGUAAAGGCCUACCAAGGCGACGAUCGGUAGCGGGUCUGAGAGGACGGCCCGCCACACUGGGACUGAGACACGGCCCAGACUCCUACGGGAGGCAGCAGUGGGGAAUUUGGGACAAUGGGCGCAAGCCUGAUCCAGCCAUGCCGCGUGCGGGAAGAAGGCCUUCGGGUUGUAAACCGCUUUUGGCAGGAACGAAACGGCGCAAGCCAAUACCUUGCGCUAAUGACGGUACCUGCAGAAUAAGCACCGGCUAACUACGUGCCAGCCGCCGCCGUAAAAC
rnacentral:rRNA from 1 species